rnacentral:rRNA from 1 species
UACGUAGGGGGCAAGCGUUGUCCGGAAUCAUUGGGCGUAAAGCGCGUGUAGGCGGUCCGGUAAGUCCGCUGUGAAAGUCGGGGGCUUAACCCUCGGAUGCCGGUGGAUACUGUCGGGCUUGAGUACGGAAGAGGCGAGUGGAAUUCCUGGUGUAGCGGUGAAAUGCGCAGAUAUCAGGAGGAACACCAAUAGCGAAGGCAGCUCGCUGGGACGUUACUGACACUAAGGCGCGAAAGCGUGGGGAGCGAACAGG